GCCAUUUGAAAGGUUUGCGUGAACCACUCUUAUCUUUUUUUUUUCUCUCUCUCCACUUUACCCAAAUAGUGGCUCGGAUACCAAAAUAUGUUGGUGCUUAUAAAGAUAAUACGGAAACAGAAACAAAAGAGAGGAAGUGGAUCUCUAAGAGAGAAAGUGGAUCUCUGUUUUAUUCUAUCAAAGAAAAGAAAACAAAGGCUUUCAUAGGCAUUACAAAGUAAACUGAACAUAACUAAAUGGCCUAAAAAAUCUGCAACUAAUCUGCAGCAGAUAUGAUUUUAUUUGCCACUACUAACAAUAACAUAAUAUCAGGAAUUAAAUCAGAAACUAAACACUUAUGAUUUUGUAAUCACAUCUUAACAUGGUCGACCCUCUGAAAAACAUGAAUAUGAGGCACAAUAAAUAAUCGUCAGAGGAUCUUCAACAAGUUUGUAUCAGAUAAAUACAUUGAAGGUGCUAGGCUAAACUAGGGAGGAAGGAGGCAGAGCUCUAGCCAUCUCAUUCUCCUCUAGGUGUUUGAAGGACAGGGAGCAGUAGAUCGACUCCGUGGGUGUCUUCGAGAGUACCAUUCUUUCACUGAAAAGCAUAAAUUACAGGUUGAAGCUUCCACUUGUUAAUCGUAUCCUGCAUGCAAAAACUAAGACACAAAGCAACAAACAGCACACAAACAUAGAUCAAAAGAAGGUUAGAGCAUAGUAUGGGAAGCAAAACAGUAGAUCGAAAAAUCCCUCUCGUUCUAAGCAUCAGAUCUACGAAAAAAAAAAAAGAAAGAAAAAAACAUACUAUUUACAACUCACCCAGAAGUGAGGAGGGAACUCACGAUCCAAGUGGGGAAAGAGAAACCUUCCCCUGCCUAGCGGGAAAAACAAAAGCCACAAAUUAGCAAAAGAAGAAACCUAGUUCAAUGAGAGAGAGAUGCGCAUUUCAUUUAACGUGAACAUGUAUAUGUACACAGUUAGCUGCAACUGCUCAACUAAUAUUACCAAUCAGCAAGUGCCAGCACAUCUUCUUAACA
rnacentral:lncRNA from 1 species